rnacentral:miRNA from 1 species
AGCACUUUUAAAAUCGAUCAUAAAAUAACCGAUCUUAAAAGUACUUUUAAGAUCGGUUAAAUUUUAACCGAUCUUAAAAGUGUU